rnacentral:lncRNA from 1 species
AUGGACUCUUUGAUCCACCCGGACAACUACUAUGUAGACAAUAUCUUACUUUCAUUGCAAGUGAAAAUGCCAAAAUCAGGCUGGAAGACAAUUAUCGAUGUCAGUAUCAGUCGCUCCGCCAAUAAGUUGAAAAUUCCUUUUUUUCUCUUCUUACUCGGUAAUAAUUUUGGAGUAAAUGAAAGGAAAGUUUCCCCUUUUCAUUGGAAUACGCGAUUAAUUAAAUGUGAGCCCUUAGAAUCAUUUCAGGUCCUACAAUAUCAAACGAAUGAAUUUCCUCUGCUGUUAUUUUUUUUCGUCCACAUCAAGAACAUGCUCGCUUGCUCGCAUGGUUUGAAAAAUUUGAAUCUGGACCUUACAGAACUUUCACAAAAUGUUAGCUUAAACGACAGUGUAGUCUUUUGACACACCUCUUUUUUCUGACUCACAUUUUGGCAUUUUUGCUUGUUCCUUUCUUAUUUUGGUCUCAGCCAAUUAUUGCUAGCAACGAUUUAAAGAUCUUUUAGAUAAUAAUUUGUAACUCCAUUUUUAUAUCUUGAAAUGAUUUUUCAUUUUUACACAAACUUCCCUCAAUAAUGAAAAAUCAUCAUUUGACUUUUGUUUUCGUUUUUUAAUUAUUUUUUGUUUUGUUUUGUUUGAUGAUAUGAAUGUCAUGCCGUUAUUACUCAUUGUUUAUAAUAGUCAUUAUGAAUAAGCAAAAUCAUUAAGCAUCAGUAUAAUAUAUUUUUAUCAAAAGACUCACUCUCAAAGCUAGCUGAAAUCGUUAGUUAUCUUCAAUGACCCACAAUUUUUCACUUUUUUGUACAUUGCUCAAGAGUUUUAAGUAUUUAUUUUAUUAUUUUCAGAGCUUGCUAAUGAUUUUGAAUUCCAUCAAGAAUUUUCUUGCAGUUGAAUAUUGUAACCUUCAUUGAAUGUGCCGGAACUGUUCAUUCAUGGCCUUCUUUUUUUUCAAUUUUCUGCAGUCUUACUAAUCUUUUACUUUCUUCAUACUUUACACUUAGCUUCCUUUUCCGCCCAUCAGUUUUUUAGCAUAUCGUCUCAUAGUUGAUUUCAAUCACAAUUUAUUGCUGGGAAAAUUAAAUAAGAAUUCAAUGCUGAGCAAAUAUUGUUCAAAAUAAUUCAGAUUGAGGACUAAAAUUUUCGGGUGAAAAUCAGUGGGACUGACCUCCUCUGAAGGAACUGACAUCUAUAUAAUGCCUUUUUUUUCUAGUUACAGACACUGUUGCUUUAUCUUCAUAGCUCCGUCUGUGGAUAUAGUCACUGAUCUGAACAGUUUUCCUAUUUGCAGCAGUCCAUAGCUGUUUUUUUUUUAUUUAUUAAUAAUGUAAGUCAAGACAAUCUGUAUGAAUGAAAAUAAAUUGCCGGCCAUUAUGCUGUAGGCACUAGCAUUGUGAAAUUAUCUCUACUUUGUCUAAAACCAUCCUCACAGAACUCUUUUGAUGUAAUUUCCAUGUUUUAUUUCUCUGUAUUUUUGUUUUCACUUUUUCCUAUUACGUGCAAGUUUGGUCAAUUUUUUAAUCACAAAAUACAUAGUCUAGCUUCCUUCGAUUUCCCUCGCUAAAAAGCUCUGUUUUCAAAAUUAGCCACCAAUCUCUUUUGAAAGUAACCUGUCCAUUUCUUUCUCUUUCUUUUUACCCAGGUAAAAUUUUUAUAUGAUACGAUUCAAUUCAAAGUUCAUAUUCCCUGCUUGUUUUAAAUUAAAUUGAUCAUUAUGCUCAAAAGAGAAAAUAAUUGCUAAAACCAGAAGCAAAAAUACUUUUGAAGGAGAUUUAAUUAUUGUUAUGACAGUCCUGUAUUAUAUUACUUCUCCGAAGUACUUAAAACUGGAAUUUUUACCAACUUCUAAUGGUAUUUUUCUUUUUUAAAACAGGUACAAUUUUUAGUUCAUCUUUUUUGAUUUAUUGUCAUACGUGUUAUUAGCAAUAAUAUCGUUUUAAGUUCAUCUGUUCAUUUGUUCCUAGUUCAGUGGACCUGUAAAAAGAAACUUUCAAGUACUUACCAAGUUUCGCCCCCUGAUGAAGGGUUUGUGCAUUGUAAAUUUACAAAGGUAUGUGUUUAUGCGAGAUUUUUAAAGACUGAUUGUAUUGAAAAUCUAAUUUUUCGUUCAUUUUUAAAUUCGUUAUUUAUUUUAGUUUUAGCAGCUCGCUUAUUGAUUAUCCACGGAAUUUUGAAAUCUUAACAGUAACGUGCAUACAAAGAUUACUAUCAUCCAUAAUUUUUAUGUAAAUUUAAAUUCAAUGACUGGCACAAGUAGACCAGAUUUUUUCGUUUUACACAGCGAUUUUUUCUUUUGUAAGUUGAAGGAAUGAAUCUAGAUCAUCUCUUAAUCAGACUGUUUUUGUUAGCUAGCGAGUUCGGUAUUCCACAAAGUGUCGAAGUGCAUAUGCUUAAUCUCUUUGUAAUCCGUCCAAUAACGCCAUAGGCUAAUUUGUCUUCCCUCCAGAUUAGCAUUAUGGGUUUUGGUGUUUGGAUCUAAGAUUUGCCUUAUUUAAAAACAAAAGGAGAAAAAAUACUCAAUACUUUUUCUGUUCCAUGUUGAAUAUAUUUUAAUUAGUUUUUCCUCUAUUUGAAUAAGGGUGGGUAUUAAAAUCUUGAUAUUUUUCUCAUCCUUAUGCAAGUUUUCGUUCUGUUUCUUGUAGACUACCAAUACCUAUAUUGCGGUAGUCUGCUUGUAUCAUAGGCUAAAGACAUUUGAUCAAGAUUCAUACCUUGCAAUUUUACCAAAGUUGAAAGGAAAAAAUCGCUUUUCAUUUUUGCCUAUUUUGUAAAAGUGAAUUACCUUUUGCAAUUAUUUGUUCAUGAAUUGUUUUUGUUUAAAGUCAUCUAUGAACAUGAUUGUCAAUUGACCACUAAGUAGCUCGCUCAUUAUCAGCUGCCAGAUCUAUUAUUGAAUGUACUUAAGUGUCUGAAAAAAACAAACUCAACUAUCCAUUGAAUUGAAACAUCAAUCAAUAAAGUGUUAUAAUUGAUUCCAAUGUACAUAAAUAAAUGUGUGCAUAUGUGAAUGUCAUUUGUAAAUGAUUACAGAACAAUGCCUUCUUUUUUUAAUCUUACUUUGGACCCACCUAUUUGCUUGCAGAAUCAUGCUCGGCUAUUGUUUACCGAUCACUCUUGCUGUAUACUUGCUUCACUGCAUUACAUUGUCAGUUUCAUUUGAUUCUCUCUUAUUUUGUUCUCUUUUUUUUCAAUUAAUUCAUUUGUUCUGUUUUCUCUCUUUGGUUAAUUUCAACUUGUCAAAUUUAUCAUAUAACAAGUAAAACUUUUUCAAUUUGCGUUAAAUGAUUAUUUUUAUUCUUGUCGUUACUUUUUUCAAAAAUUAUGAAAGCAGCCAUUUACAAUCAGGUACAUGCACUCACUCACUAUUACGAUUAGAAGAAUCACUGAAGAUGUUUUUGCAUCAUUAGUUGUCUUUUCUUUGCUUUUUGUUGCUGGUGAUGUGGGAGAACUUUAAUUUCAUG